AGCGAACGCUGGCGGCAGGCUUAACACAUGCAAGUCGAGCGGGCGUAGCAAUACGUCAGCGGCAGACGGGUGAGUAACGCGUGGGAACAUACCUUUUGGUUCGGAACAACACAGGGAAACUUGUGCUAAUACCGGAUAAGCCCUUACGGGGAAAGAUUUAUCGCCGAAAGAUUGGCCCGCGUCUGAUUAGCUAGUUGGUGAGGUAAUGGCUCACCAAGGCGACGAUCAGUAGCUGGCCUGAGAGGAUGAUCAGCCACAUUGGGACUGAGACACGGCCCAAACUCCUACGGGAGGCAGCAGUGGGGAAUAUUGGACAAUGGGCGCAAGCCUGAUCCAGCCAUGCCGCGUGAGUGAUGAAGGCCCUAGGGUUGUAAAGCUCUUUUGUGCGGGAAGAUAAUGACGGUACCGCAAGAAUAAGCCCCGGCUAACUUCGUGCCAGCCGCCGCUGUAAG
rnacentral:rRNA from 1 species